rnacentral:rRNA from 1 species
UACGAAGGGGGCUAGCUUUGUUCGGAAUCACUGGGCGUAAAGGGUGCGUAGGCGGGCCUUUAAGUCAGGGGUGAAAUCCUGGAGCUCAACUCCAGAACUGCCUUUGAUACUGAAGAUCUUGAGUUCGGGAGAGGUGAGUGGAACUGCGAGUGUAGAGGUGAAAUUCGUAGAUAUUCGCAAGAACACCAGUGGCGAAGGCGGCUCACUGGCCCGAUACUGACGCUGAGGCACGAAAGCGUGGGGAGCAAACAGG